UUACACGACAUUUUCCCGAAAACUAGAUGAGAAAAUAUUGGUACCAGCAAAAUUCUCUAGGCAAUAUCGUUUCAAUUUCUGCAGUUUCUUUAAUGUGUCUUCCCAUAUAGCACAGAAACCUUUCAGAGAUAUUUCAGAAAAGUUUCAAGUGAAAAGUGAAACAUUUCAGAAACGUUUCGAAAUGUUUUUGAGACAGCUCUCAGACAGCUCUGAGAUAGCAAAAUGUCCGCGAUGCUUGCACUUGAAACAUUUCUGAAAGUGUACUGAAAGGUUGCUGAUACAUAUUUGCAACCUUUCUGAAAACAGUCAGAAAUGUUUCAAGUGCAAGCAUCGCGGACAUUUUGCUAUCUCAGAGCUGUCUCAGAACUGUCUCAGAAAUAUUUUGAAACGUUUCUGAAAUGAUUUACUUUUCACUUGAAACAUUUCUGAAAUAUCUCUGAAAGAUUUCUGUGCUAUGUAAUAGGUGCACUACACGCAGAAAAAGGAUUCGUUACCAAAGCUAAAAUUUUUAGCCAUGAAAGAUGUGUCUUUAAGACACAAUAAUAAAUAUCACGUAGGCCCCGAGAACUCACUACGAUAGCAUAGGUUGAUCCGUUUUCUGGCACCGUGAUCUGCUUUAUGUAGCUUGUGAAGUGUAAAUUGCAUUACGAGAAAGGUGUCGCGUGCAUCACCUAGUGACGAUCCGCGAACAAUAUAUGUGCUGGAUUAUUUCAUAAGAAAGUUUUUAAAGAUAACUCAAUUGAAAGUUUUCAAGAUAGCGUGUGUGAAAGAUGUAAAAAAUAACUCAACUGAAAAAUUUAUUAAAUUAUUUUAUGUGAAAGGUUUUGGAAAUAAUUCAAUUGAAAAGUCUGUAAAAAUAUGUCAAAUGAAAUGUUUUAGGGAUAACUCAACUAAAAGUUUCAAAUUUAUUGCAUGUGAAAGAUUUCAGAAAAAAACUCUUUUGAAAGUUUGUUAAAUUGUUUCAUGUGAAAGGUUUCAGAAAUAAUUAAACGGAAAGGUCUGUAAAAAUAUUUCAUACGGAAGGUUUCAGAAAUAUUUUUGUUGAAACAUUUCAAAUGACAUAUUACAGAAUUCUUUCAGAAUUGUUGCACAUGGACUGUGAAAGGUUGAAACCUUUCUGAAAGCUUUCUGAAACAAUCUGUGCUAUAUGAGUUUAUAAACACCAUGAUUGAGUUCUCGAAUCUUCGUCUUGGAAUCAUUCAGAUUUCAAUGAAAUAAAAUUAAUAGAAGCAUAAAGAAGGAAGAUGGAAAGAAAUAAAUGAAGAAUAGAUAAAUAUAAGUAAAUAUCAGAUAAGUAGCUAAUAUUUUUAUAGAAUAAAAAAUUGUGUAUCCUAUGUGCUUUUUGUAAUCGUAGAGGAACUAGCUGAUUCCUUUUUUGAAUUAAUUUUUUCUUUCAGCUUUCCUGUCAAUCAUUUGCUUGUAGAAUGUUGACAACCGGAAAACAUUCCCCUGUCGAGUGAAACUACCAAAUUCUGAGCCUACUACGUUCUUGAGUGUACCAAAAUUUGUGCUGUCAGCAACUGAAAAUUACUAUCUGUUCUACAAAAAUAGACCCUAGGGAAUUACUGACUUCCGGCUAAUUUUACACAUUGUCCGGAGGCCGGAGGUAGUGCAAAUCCAGUAAAGCAUAUGGCCGCCGUCCGCCGUACACUAAUGUGUAUAAUUAAAAUUGAUGAGAUUGUUUAAAAAUUAAUUGUAACAAUGGAAACUGUUCGAUACAAACUUAUUGAUGGCGAUAAUAACAUUUAUGAAGUGUUUUUUACACCUGAAGAGUAUGCCAAAGCAGCGUCUGAUGGGAAUUAUGCAGCAAACAUUUUAGGGAAUAUAAAAAAGGCAGGCAUAAGUUCAGUAGACAAAGAAAAUGAUAGAAGUCAGGAAAAGGAAAGGGAAUUAGACGAAAA